rnacentral:rRNA from 1 species
UACGGGGGGGGCAAGCGUUGUUCGGAAUUACUGGGCGUAAAGGGUUCGUAGGUGGCCAACUAAGUCAGACGUGAAAUCCCUCAGCUUAACCGGGGAACUGCGUCUGAUACUGGGUGGCUUGAAUCCGGGAGAGGGAUGCGGAAUUCCAGGUGUAGCGGUGAAAUGCGUAGAUAUCUGGAGGAACACCGGUGGCGAAGGCGGCAUCCUGGACCGGUAUUGACGCUGAGGAGCGAAAGCCAGGGGAGCAAACGGG